rnacentral:tRNA from 2 species
GGGGAGAAUACUGAUUGGUCAGUGAGCGAGCUGUAAACUCGUGAGCCCUUGCGCUCUUUGGGGGUUCGAAUCCCUCUCUCCUCA